GUCGGGCAUGGUGGCUCAUGCCUGUAAUCCCAGCACUUUGGGAGGCAGAGGCGGGUGGAUCACCUGAGGUCGGGAGUUCGAGACCAGCCUGACCAACAUGGAGAAACCCCGUCUCAU
ensembl:misc_RNA Metazoa_SRP Metazoan signal recognition particle RNA